rnacentral:rRNA from 1 species
CAAUAGCGUAUAUUAAAGUUGUUGCAGUUAAAAAGCUCGUAGUUGAAUUUCUGGUCGUGAAAAGUGGUCCGUUCCGCAAGGAAUGUGUACUGUCUAUUCAUGUCCAUCCUCGGAGUUAGUGUGUAUUACUUUAAUCGGUCGUGCAUACAAUACUUCGUCAUUUACUGUGAGCAAAAUAGAGUGUUCAAAGACAGGCUUAUGCCGUUGAAUAUAUUAGCAUGGAAUAAUAAGAUAUGACUUUGGUUCUAUUUUGUUUGGUUUUGGUCACUCCCAAAGUAAAUAGAUUAAUAGGGAGUAGUUGGGGGUAGUUCGUAUUCAAUUGUCAGAGGUG